rnacentral:rRNA from 1 species
AGCUAAUACUUGCUUUAGCACUCUUGAUUUAUUUCUUGAGUGUGUACUUGUUAAGCCUUAUAAGAAAAGAGUUAUUAACUUAAGGAAUUAUAACAAAGAAGUAACACGUAAUGGAUUAUUCCAUUUUUUAGUGUGUAUCAAUCGAGUUUCUGACCUAUCAGCUUUUGAUGUUAGGGUAUUGGCCUAACAUGGCUAUGACGGGUAACGGGGAAUUAGAGUUCGAUUCCGGAGAGGGAGCCUGAGAAAUAGCUACCACAUCUAAGGAAGGCAGCAGGCGCGUAAAUUACCCAAUUCUAAAGAAGAGAGGUAGUGACAAGAAAUAACAAUACAAGGCCAAUCUGGCUUUGUAAUUGGAAUGAUGGGAAUUUAAAACCUUCCCAAAAUUCAAUUGGAGGGCAAGUCUGGUGCCAGCAGCCGCGGUAAUUCCAGCUCCAAUAGCGUAUAUUAAAAUUGUUGCAGUUAAAACGCUCGUAGUUGAAUUUCAAAGAAUCGAUAUUUUAAGUAACGCUUCUAGCUACAAAUCCACAUAACUGAUGCCUCCGCGUAUCGACUUUGUGCGCAUUUUAGCUAUUAUGUGUUCUUUUAAUUAAAAUGAUUCUUUUUAAGAUUCAUCUAUUAAAAAUUUGCCUCGGCAUAAUUUUUUUUGAUGAUCUUGUUACUUUGAGUAAAUUAGAGUGUUCAAAGCAAACAGAUAUAGCAUUUGUGCGUUUGAAUACUACAGCAUGGAAUAACAAAAUUGAACAAGUCAGAAUUUUUUUGUUCUUUUUUCUUAUUUUGGCUUAGUUACGAUUAAUAGGAGUAGCUUGGGGGCAUUUGUAUUCAGAUGUCAGAGGUGAAAUUCUUAGAUUUUCUGGAGACAAACAACUGCGAAAGCAUUUGCCUAAAAUACUUCCAUUAAUCAAGAACGAAAGUUAAGGGAGUGAAGACGAUCAGACACCGUCGUAAUCUUAACCAUAAACUAUGCCGACUAGGCUUUGGAUGAAAGAUUUUAAAAUAAGAGUUUU